rnacentral:rRNA from 1 species
UGCAUAUCAAUAAGCGGAGGAAAAGAAACCAACAGGGAUUGCCUCAGUAACGGCGAGUGAAGCGGCAACAGCUCAAAUUUGAAAUCUGGCUCUUUCAGGGUCCGAGUUGUAAUUUGUAGAAGAUGCUUUGGGUGUGGCUCCGGUCUAAGUUCCUUGGAACAGGACGUCAUAGAGGGUGAGAAUCCCGUACGUGACUGGGUGCCUUCGCUCGUGUAAAGCUCUUUCGACGAGUCGAGUUGUUUGGGAAUGCAGCUCAAAAUGGGUGGUAAAUUUCAUCUAAAGCUAAAUAUUGGCCAGAGACCGAUAGCGCACAAGUAGAGUGAUCGAAAGAUGAAAAGCACUUUGGAAAGAGAGUUAAACAGUACGUGAAAUUGUUGAAAGGGAAGCGCUUGCAACCAGACUUGCGCGCUGUUGAUCAUCCGAGCUUUUGCCCGGUGCACUCGGCAGCGCUCAGGCCAGCAUCGGUUUUGGUGGGCGGAUAAAGGCCUUGGGAAUGUAGCUCUCUUCGGGGAGUGUUAUAGCCCUCGGUGCAAUGCGCCCUACCGGGACCGAGGACCGCGCUUCGGCUAGGAUGCUGGCGUAAUGGUUGUAAGCGACCCGUCUUGAAACACGGACCA